GACGAACGCUGGCGGCGUGCUUAACACAUGCAAGUCGAACGGAAAGGCCCUGCUUGCAGGGUGCUCGAGUGGCGAACGGGUGAGUAACACGUGGGUGAUCUGCCCCUUACUUUGGGAUAAGCCUGGGAAACUGGGUCUAAUACUGGAUAGGACCAUGCUGUAGGUGGUGUGGUGGAAAGAUUAGUUUCGGUAAGGGAUGAGCUCGCGGCCUAUCAGCUUGUUGGUGGGGUAAUGGCCUACCAAGGCGUCGACGGGUAGCCGGCCUGAGAGGGUGGACGGCCACAUUGGGACUGAGAUACGGCCCAGACGCCUACGGGAGGCAGCAGUGGGGAAUAGUGCACAAUGGGCGCAAGGCUGAUGCAGCGACGCCGCGUGGGGGAUGACGGCCUUCGGGUUGUAAACUCCUUUCAGCCAUGACGAAGCCCUUGUGGUGACGGUAGUGGUAGAAGAAGCACCGGCUAACUACGUG
rnacentral:rRNA from 1 species